UUCGCCCUUAGAGUUUGAUCCUGGCUCAGGACGAACGCUGGCGGCGUGCCUAACACAUGCAAGUCGAACGGAGAUAUUCGGAGCUUGCUUUGGAUAUCUUAGUGGCGGACGGGUGAGUAACGCGUGAGUAACCUGCCUCUCAGAGGGGGAUAACGUUCUGAAAAGAACGCUAAUACCGCAUGAUAUUGCGAAACCGCAUGGUUUUGCAAUCAAAGGAGCAAUCCGCUGAGAGAUGGACUCGCGUCCGAUUAGCCAGUUGGCGGGGUAAUGGCCCACCAAAGCGACGAUCGGUAGCCGGACUGAGAGGUUGAACGGCCACAUUGGGACUGAGACACGGCCCAGACUCCUACGGGAGGCAGCAGUGGGGGAUAUUGCACAAUGGGGGAAACCCUGAUGCAGCAACGCCGCGUGUGGGAAGAAGGUUUUCGGAUUGUAAACCACUGUUCUCAGGGACGAUAAUGACGGUACCUGAAGAAAAAGCUCCGGCUAACUACGUGCCAGCAGCCGCGGUAAAACGUAGGUCACAAGCGUUGUCCGGAAUUACUGGGUGUAAAGGGAGCGCAGGCGGGAAGACAAGUUGGAAGUGAAAUCUAUGGGCUCAACCCAUAAACUGCUUUCAAAACUGUUUUUCUUGAGUAGUGCAGAGGUAGGCGGAAUUCCCGGUGUAGCGGUGGAAUGCGUAGAUAUCGGGAGGAACACCAGUGGCGAAGGCGGCCUACUGGGCACCAACUGACGCUGAGGCUCGAAAGUGUGGGUAGCAAACAGGAUUAGAUACCCUGGUAGUCCACGCCGUAAACGAUGAUUACUAGGUGUUGGAGGAUUGACCCCUUCAGUGCCGCAGUUAACACAAUAAGUAAUCCACCUGGGGAGUACGACCGCAAGGUUGAAACUCAAAGGAAUUGACGGGGGCCCGCACAAGCAGUGGAGUAUGUGGUUUAAUUCGACGCAACGCGAAGAACCUUACCAAGUCUUGACAUCCUGCGACGAUGCUGGAAACAGUAUUUUCCUUCGGGACGCAGAGACAGGUGGUGCAUGGUUGUCGUCAGCUCGUGUCGUGAGAUGUUGGGUUAAGUCCCGCAACGAGCGCAACCCUUACUGUCAGUUACUACGCAAGAGGACUCUGGCAGGACUGCCGUUGACAAAACGGAGGAAGGUGGGGAUGACGUCAAAUCAUCAUGCCCUUUAUGACUUGGGCUACACACGUACUACAAUGGCGUUAAACAAAGAGAAGCAAGACCGCGAGGUGGAGCAAAACUCAGAAACAACGUCCCAGUUCGGACUGCAGGCUGCAACUCGCCUGCACGAAGUCGGAAUUGCUAGUAAUCGUGGAUCAGCAUGCCACGGUGAAUACGAACCCGGGCCUUGCACUCACCGCCCGUCA
rnacentral:rRNA from 1 species